AUUGAACGCUGGCGGCAUGCCUUACACAUGCAAGUCGAACGGCAGCACGGGAGCAAUCCUGGUGGCGAGUGGCGAACGGGUGAGUAAUAUAUCGGAACGUGCCCAGUAGCGGGGGAUAACUGCUCGAAAGAGCAGCUAAUACCGCAUACGACCUGAGGGUGAAAGGGGGGGAUCGCAAGGCCUCUCGCUAUUGGAGCGGCCGAUAUCAGAUUAGCUCGUUGGUUGGGUAAAGGCCUACCAAGGCAACGAUCUGUAGUUGGUCUGAGAGGACGACCAGCCACACUGGGACUGGGACACGGCCCAGACUCCUACGGGAGGCAGAAGUGGGGAAUUUUGGACAAUGGGCGCAAGCCUGAUCCAGCAAUGCCGCGUGCAGGAAGAAGGCCUUCGGGUUGUAAACUGCUUUUGUCAGGGAAGAAAUCCUCUAGGUUAAUACCCUUGGGGGGAUGACGGUACCUGAAGAAUAAGCACCGGCUAACUACGUGCCAGCCGCCGCCGUAACAC
rnacentral:rRNA from 1 species